rnacentral:rRNA from 1 species
UACGUAGGGACCGAGCGUUGUCCGGAAUCAUUGGGCGUAAAGAGCGUGUAGGCGGCUCGCUAAGUCUUGCGUGAAAUCUCGGGGCUCAACCCCGAGCGGUCGUGAGAAACUGGCGGGCUAGAGUGCGGGAGAGGAGAGUGGAAUUCCUGGUGUAGCGGUGAAAUGCGCAGAUAUCAGGAGGAACACCAAUGGCGAAGGCAGCGUCGCUGGGACGUGACUGACGCUGAGACGCGAAAGCGUGGGAGCAAACAGG